rnacentral:rRNA from 1 species
UACGUAGGGGGCGAGCGUUGUCCGGAGUUACUGGGCGUAAAGCGCACGCAGGCGGUCUGCUAAGUUUGGAGUGACAGUUGGUGGCUUAACUGCCAAAGUGCUUCGAAAACUGACAGACUUGAGGGCUUCAGAGGGACACGGAAUUCCGGGUGGAGUGGUGAAAUGCGUAGAGAUCCGGAGGAACACCAGAGGCGAAGGCAAUGGCCUGGGGAGAGACUGACGCUCAGGUGCGAAAGCCAGGGGAGCGAACGGG